AUAAUAUCAACCUUUUUGGUUGGAUGUGGGUUUGCUGGCCUUUUUGAGGUCAGCUCCCCUUAAAUGCAUUAGCGGACAACAUUUUGCCAACAGUUCAUUGGUGUGAUAAUUAUCUACGCUAUUGACGUGAAGCAAAGGUUCAGCUUCUAACAGUCCAUUGACUUGGACAAGCCUAUUUUUAUUA
rnacentral:misc_RNA from 1 species